rnacentral:rRNA from 1 species
AUUGAACGCUGGCGGCAGGCUUAACACAUGCAAGUCGAGCGGAGAUGAGGUGCCUGCACCUUAUCUUAGCGGCGGACGGGUGAGUAAUGCUUAGGAAUCUGCCUAUUAGUGGGGGACAACAUUCCGAAAGGAAUGCUAAUACCGCAUACGUCCUACGGGAGAAAGCAGGGGAUCUUCGGACCUUGCGCUAAUAGAUGAGCCUAAGUCGGAUUAGCUAGUUGGUGGGGUAAAGGCCUACCAAGGCGACGAUCUGUAGCGGGUCUGAGAGGAUGAUCCGCCACACUGGGACUGAGACACGGCCCAGACUCCUACGGGAGGCAGCAGUGGGGAAUAUUGGACAAUGGGGGGAACCCUGAUCCAGCCAUGCCGCGUGUGUGAAGAAGGCCUUAUGGUUGUAAAGCACUUUAAGCGAGGAGGAGGCUACUGAGACUAAUACUCUUAGAUAGUGGACGUUACUCGCAGAAUAAGCACCGGCUAACUCUGUGCCAGCCGCCGCCGUAAAAC